rnacentral:rRNA from 1 species
AACGAACGCUGGCGGCAGGCUUAACACAUGCAAGUCGAACGCACCUUUCGGGGUGAGUGGCAGGCGGGUGAGUAACGCGUGGGAAUCUACCCUUCUCUACGGGAUAGCUCCGGGAAACUGGAAUUAAUACCGUAUACGUCCUGAGGGAGAAAGAUUUAUCGGGGAAGGAUGAGCCCGCGUUGGAUUAGCUAGUUGGUGGGGUAAAGGCCUACCAAGGCGACGAUCCAUAGCUGGUCUAAGAGGAUGAUCAGCCACAUUGGGACUGAGACACGGCCCAAACUCCUACGGGAGGCAGCAGUGGGGAAUAUUGGACAAUGGGCGCAAGCCUGAUCCAGCCAUGCCGCGUGAGUGAUGAAGGCCCUAGGGUUGUAAAGCUCUUUCAGUGGGGACGAUAAUGACGGUACCCACAGAAGAAGCCCCGGCUAACUUCGUG